rnacentral:rRNA from 1 species
UACGUAGGGUGCAAGCGUUAAUCGGAAUUACUGGGCGUAAAGCGUGCGCAGGCGGUGAUGUAAGACAGGUGUGAAAUCCCCGGGCUUAACCUGGGAACUGCAUUUGUGACUGCAUCGCUGGAGUGCGGCAGAGGGGGGUGGAAUUCCACGUGUAGCAGUGAAAUGCGUAGAGAUGUGGAGGAACACCGAUGGCGAAGGCAGCCCCCUGGGAUGAGACUGACGCUCAUGUACGAAAGCGUGGGGAGCAAACAGG